UCCUUCGGGAUUAGUGGCAGACGGGUGAGUAACGCGUGGGAAGCUACCUUGUGGUAGGGAACAACAGUUGGAAACGACUGCUAAUACCCUAUGAGCCCUAUGGGGGAAAGAUUUAUCGCCAUGAGAUGUGCCCGCGUUAGAUUAGCUAGUUGGUAAGGUAAUGGCUUACCAAGGCGACGAUCUAUAGCUGGUCUGAGAGGAUGAUCAGCCACACUGGGACUGAGACACGGCCCAGACUCCUACGGGAGGCAGCAGUGGGGAAUAUUGGACAAUGGGGGCAACCCUGAUCCAGCCAUGCCGCGUGAGUGAUGACGGCCUUAGGGUUGUAAAGCUCUUUCAGCAGUGAAGAUAAUGACAUUAACUGCAGAAGAAGCCCCGGCUAACUUCGUGCCAGCAGCCGCGGUAAUACGAAGGGGGCUAGCGUUGUUCGGAAUCACUGGGCGUAAAGCGUACGUAGGCGGACUGAUCAGUCAGGGGUGAAAUCCCGGGGCUCAACCCCGGAACUGCCUUUGAUACUGUCAGUCUUGAGAUCGAGAGAGGUGAGUGGAACUCCGAGUGUAGAGGUGAAAUUCGUAGAUAUUCGGAAGAACACCAGUGGCGAAGGCGGCUCACUGGCUCGAUA
rnacentral:rRNA from 1 species